rnacentral:rRNA from 1 species
UAAACUGAAGAGUUUGAUCAUGGCUCAGAUUGAACGUUGGCGGCACGCCUAAUACAUGCAAGUCGAACGAGAAAGCACUUCGGUGCGAGUACAGUGGCGGACGGGUGAGUAACGCGUAGGAAUCUACCUAGUAGUGGGGGACAACUCGAGGAAACUCGAGCUAAUACCGCAUACGCUCUAUGGAGGAAAGUGGGGGAUCUUCGGACCUCACGCUAUUAGAGGAGCCUGCGUUAGAUUAGCUAGUUGGUGAGGUAAAGGCUCACCAAGGCUACGAUCUAUAGCUGGUCUGAGAGGACGAUCAGCCACACUGGAACUGAGACACGGUCCAGACUCCUACGGGAGGCAGCAGUAGGGAAUCUUGGGCAAUGGGCGAAAGCCUGACCCAGCGAUGCCGCGUGUGCGAAGAAGGCCUUAGGGUUGUAAAGCACUUUCAGUUGCGAAGAAAAGCUGCGAUUUAAUACAUCGCGGUCUUGACGUUAACAACAGAAGAAGUACCGGCUAACUCCGUGCCAGCAGCCGCGGUAAUACGGAGGGUACGAACGUUAAUCGGAAUUACUGGGCGUAAAGC